GAUGAAGAACGUAGCAAAAUGCGAUAAGUAAUGUGAAUUGCAGAAUUCAGUGAAUCAUCGAAUCUUUGACCGCACAUUGCGCCCGCUGGUAUUCCGGCGGGCAUGCCUGUUCGAGCGUCAUUUCAACCCUCAAGCCCCCGGGUUUGGUGUUGGGGAUCGGCUCUGCCCUUCUGGGCGGUGCCGCCCCCGAAAUACAUUGGCGGUCUCGCUGCAGCCUCCAUUGCGUAGUAGCUAACACCUCGCAACUGGAACGCGGCGCGGCCAUGCCGUAAAACCCCAACUUCUGAAUGUUGACCUCGGAUCAGGUAGGAAUACCCGCUGAACUUAAGCAUAUCAAUAAGCGGAGGA
rnacentral:misc_RNA from 1 species